rnacentral:lncRNA from 1 species
AUGCCAACAAAUUUGGAAAACUCAGCAGUGGCCACAGGACUGGAAAAGUCAGUUUUCAUUCCAAUCCCAAAGAAAGGCAAUGCCAAAAAAUGCUCAAACUACUGCACAAUUGCACUCAUCUCACAUGCUAGUAAAGUAAUGCUUAAAAUUCUCCAAGCCAGGCUUCAGCAAUACGUGAACCGUGAAUACCCUGAUGUUCAAGCUGGUUUUAGAAAAGGCAGAGGAACCAGAGAUCAAAUUGCCAACAUCCGCUGGAUCAUGGAAAAAGCAAGACAGUUCCAGAAAAACAUCAAUUUCUGCUUUAUUGACUAUGCCAAAGCCUUUGACUGUGUGGAUCACAAUAAACUGUGGAAAAUUCUGAAAGAGAUGGGAAUACCAGACCACCUAACCUGCCUCUUGAGAAAUCUGUAUGCAGGCCAGGAAGCAACAGUUAGAACUAGACAUGGAACAACAGACUGGUUCCAAAUAGGAAAAGGAGUGUGUCAAGGCUGUAUAUUGUCACCCUGCUUAUUUAACUUAUAUGCAGAGUACAUCAUGAGAAACGCUGGACUGGAAGAAACACAAGCUGGAAUCAAGAUUGCUGGGAGAAAUAUCGAUAACCUCAGAUAUGCAGAUGACACCACCCUUAUGGCAGAAAGUGAAGAGGAACUAAAAGGCCUCUUGAUGAAAGUAAAAGAGGAGAGUGAAAAAGUUGGCUUAAAGCUCAACAUUCAGAAAACGAAGAUCAUGGCAUCUGGUCCUAUCACUCCAUGGGAAAUAGAUGGGGAAACAGUAGAAACAGUGUCAGACUUUAUUUUUGGGGGCUCCAAAAUCACUGCAGAUGGUGACUGCAGCCAUGAAAUUAAAAGACGCUUACUCCUUGGAGGAAAAGUUAUGAGCAACCUAGAUAGCAUGUUGAAGAGCAGAGACAUUACUCUGCCGACCAAGGUCCAUCUGGUCAAGACUAUGGUUUUUCCAGUGGUCAUGUAUGGAUGUGAGAGUUGGACUGUGAAGAAGGCUGAGCACCGAAGAAUUGAUGCUUUUGAAGUGUGGUGUUGGAGAAGACUCUUGAGAGUCUGUUGGACUGCAAGGAGAUCCAACCAGUCCAUUCUGAAGGAGAUCAACCCUGGGAGUUCUUUGGAGGGAAUGAUGCUAAAGCUGAAACUCCAGUACUUUGGCCACCUCAUGUGA